CCUACGGGUGGCAGCAGUGGGGAAUAUUGCUCAAUGGGGGAAACCCUGAUGCAGCGAAGUCGCGUGAGCGAUGAAGGAUCUCUGUAUGGUAAGCUUCUUUAGUAGGGAAGUAAAUUACGGUACGUGUCCAGGUUUCCAUGUCGAAUUACGUGCCGGCUGCGGUGGUAAUAUGGAGGCGGCAGGCGUUAUCCGGAUUUACCGGGUGUAAUGGGAGUGUAGGCGGUUUGGCAAGCCAGUGGUGAAAGGCUGGGGCUCAACCCCAGAAUUGCAGUUGAAACUGUCAUGCUUGAGUAUCGUAGAGGCAGGCGGAAUUCGUGGUGUAGCGGUGAAAUGCGUAGAUAUUACGAAGAACACCAAUUGCGAAGGCAGCCUGCUGGACGAUGACUGACGUUGAUGCUCGAAAGCGUGGGGAGCAAACAGGAUUAGAUACCCUUGUAGUC
rnacentral:rRNA from 1 species